rnacentral:rRNA from 1 species
UUGCCCUAGUAACGGCGAGUGAAGCGGCAACAGCUCAAAUUUGAAAUCUGGCUCUUUUAGAGUCCGAGUUGUAAUUUGCAGAGGGCGCUUUGGCUUUGGCAGCGGUCCAAGUUCCUUGGAACAGGACGUCACAGAGGGUGAGAAUCCCGUACGUGGUCGCUGGCUAUUGCCGUGUAAAGCCCCUUCGACGAGUCGAGUUGUUUGGGAAUGCAGCUCUAAAUGGGAGGUACAUUUCUUCUAAAGCUAAAUAUUGGCCAGAGACCGAUAGCGCACAAGUAGAGUGAUCGAAAGAUGAAAAGCACUUUGGAAAGAGAGUCAAACAGCACGUGAAAUUGUUGAAAGGGAAGCGCUUGCAGCCAGACUUGCUUACAGUUGCUCAUCCGGGUUUCUACCCGGUGCACUCUUCUGUAGGCAGGCCAGCAUCAGUUUGGGCGGUAGGAUAAAGGUCUCUGUCACGUACCUCCUUUCGGGGAGGCCUUAUAGGGGAGACGACAUACUACCAGCCUGGACUGAGGUCCGCGCAUCUGCUAGGAUGCUGGCGUAAUGGCUGUAAGCGGCCCGUCUUGAAACACGGACCAAGGAGUCUAACAUCUAUGCGAGUGUUUGGGUGUCAAGCCCGAGCGCGUAAUGAAAGUGAACGGAGGUGGGAACCCGCAAGGGUGCACCAUCGACCGAUCCUGAUGUCUUCGGAAGGAUUUGAGUAAGAGCAUGGCUGUUGGGACCCGAAAGAUGGUGAACUAUGCUUGAAUAGGGUGAAGCCAGAGGAAACUCUGG